GACCCUACCAAGUGACAUAUUUUAGAACCCAAGAAAGGAUAGUUUGUGUAUGGCAGUUAACACUAGGAGUGGUAAGGUAUUGAAAGCCCUCCUAUGGGCAAGCCUGUGGUUGAUAUUGUGGAAGAUGAUGUUGAAAAAGUAGAAAUUGAUCAUCCAGUGGAGACUAAGAAAUUUAAUGAGGUUAUUGAUGAUACACCAUCCAACCAUCAGCAGAUUAAUG
rnacentral:lncRNA from 1 species